rnacentral:misc_RNA from 1 species
AAGUUGCUCAAUUUCCUCCACAUAUAAUGGAUGACUAAAGCCCCUCUUGUUCAAAGGCAUAGAAAUGGGCCCUUGAAAACCCACUUGCUCAGUAAUUGUAGUCUGCAAAGGAAGCAAGAAGGCUGAAAAGUCCCGAACAUCACUUGGCGCUGGCCCCCCACUGGUAGCAGACUCCAUACUUGAAACCAAAUCCCUAGACAACCUAUUAGCUAACUCAUUCACAAAUGGGAAAAUGUCCUGUAUCACAAUCAAUCCCUUUACAUCCUCUCCACCACCAUACUUUGACAAACCACGUGAUACUCCCAUAGUCUCCAACAAUGAUCCAAGGGUACUCCGGCAAGAGAGAUACAAAGGAUCAUCAUGAGCAACUUUCCUAAGCAACUUACAAAACUCUAAUAC